UUGAAAGGGAAACGAUUGAAGUCAGUCGUACCUGCGGGUAAUCAGCCUUUUGGGCAUGAUUCUGUGGAGCGUGAGGAGUUAAACGCCUUCAUGCCUGCAUAUUCGUGUACUUUGGGUGUACUUGCCUGUGUGGUUAGUUAACAUCAAUUUUGGUUAUCAUAAAAUGGCUGGAGGAAUGUAGCUUCGAUUUCGAUUGAAGUGUUAUAGACUUCGGCAGAUGUGAUGAUCGGAAUUGAGGAUUGCAACGGAUACCCUUCGGGGCUACCUGUCUGAUCUCUGAUCGUUGCUCUGGUGCCGAAAGCGUGCUUACGGUUAUCAAAGUCGAUGGUCAACAGGUUAGAAUGGGUUAAAUUCGUUAAGGAUGUUGACGUA
rnacentral:rRNA from 1 species